UCUAGGGUCGGACCAUUGCUUCAUUGUACUGCCUUUAUGUCGGCACUUCGUGGAGGGACGUAGUUGCUGGGCUGUGGACAGCAUCCAGGAGGCUCCCCGCCCGCGGAAACGGGAGUAGGGUAGGUACGAGAGCCUGGGAGGUCCAGCCGCUGUGCCUUGUACGCCCCAUGACUGCAGCGAACGUCCCGCCUCCCCGAGCUCGUGUGUCCUCGGCUGUCGGGGGACCGCCUGGCGCCGGGGUGCCUUGCGGUUAUCUCCGUCAAGGCCCGUCCGUGUCCGUGGCCGCCCCGGAGUCGUCGCCCUGUGCGUUGUGUCCGCUUUACGGAGAAGAAGACCCAGGCUCAAAAGCCAGCCAUUCUGAGGUCUUGACCCAGCAUGUAGCUGGACUGCGGGCGUGAUAAGCGAGCCGAUCGACUAGGCACGGAUGAGGUAGAGUCUCCUGACCUCCACCUGGCUGGACUCCGAACCCCAGUGCCCCAAGUCCCUGAGUCAGCCUCAGGCCUGGGUGUUCAGGACAGUGGAACGUUCACAGGCACAGAAAGACGGCUUCAUCUUCAGCUGGUGGCCACCCUGAGACGUGCCUGGGAUGAGGGACCUGCUUCCUUAUUCUCUCAGACCACUGUACCCCUGAGAUCAUCUACUUCCGCCUCAGCGCUGACGGCCCCGCCAGGACCCCACCCCACGCGCAGCACGGAAGCCUGGCGCUGCUGCAGACUCCACUUCCCAGCGGCCCCGGCGGCGGCGCUUGGCGGUUGCCGUGGAGACCAGGCGCGCUCCGCCUACCGCGCCGGCAGCCAGAAGGCUCUGCGCGUGCGUCCGCAG